UCAUCUGAUGAAGCGGCACUGGGCUCCGAUACUAUCACAUGAGCCGAUAUGCCAAUCUGUGACAGGCCUAGAAAACCUCGUCCACUGAUC
rfam:Mycosphaerella eumusae strain CBS 114824 scaffold226, whole genome shotgun sequence.